GGAGCAUCUGGCACAGUGAAGACAGAGGUGGGGUCCUGAGUCAAUAUCACAGGAAGGUCUCCUGGAGGACACAGGUGGGGCUGCUUCCCUGAUGGGCUGUGCGGGCCAGAGUCAUGGCGUCCUUGUCUCUGCUGUACCGCAGCACACAUUCCUCAGCUUCUCAGGAGACAAGCCAGUGAUCACGAGGUGGUCCUGCAAACACAGAGCUGGUGAAGGGCUGCCUGUCAGCUGCAGCUCCACAGGCCCUGGCUGGCAAGUGGCCUCCAAAAAACUGCCACCUUCCCAGCUUUGUGGAUGGUCAGCCCCAGGGUGAGUAUCUCUGGCCUCUUAGUAAACUCUGGGUUUCCUACUUUCCCUACUUCCCCCACCUCUGUGCUCCAGGCUGCCUUGGGAAUGUGGUAGGCGCCUCCCCUCUCCCGGGUUCUACCUCCCACACUUUGCCAAAGGAGAGAAAGUUUGAUCCCCAACACAGCAAGAGGGUCAGCUGCUGAGCAGCAAAACAGAGGGCAAGGGCCCACUCCAGGGUUCAGAGUAACCCCAGGAGAUACUCAAAAGAGGUAGGAACUGAGCACUAAGAUGUUGGGGAGAGAAGAGGGAACUAAGAGCCUCUGCCAUUAAAUACGCCAGAAGUUACGUAGGGCCAAAGACAAUUGCUUUUUCUUUAACCUCGGAAAAUUUACCAAAAAGUAUGAUCCAGUAAUCAGAAUAGAAACAACCCUCCACAUUGAUGAUGGUGGAAGCAGAAAAACAAGUUGAGUAAAUCGAGUCGGCCUAAAUCACUUGACAGUUGUAUCAUGCUUUAGCGCCUCAGCAGCUCUGGGUCCAGGCCCAGUUGGAUGAAAAUGGAUUGUAUUAGUCUGUACUCAUGCUGCUAAUAAAGACAUACCCGAGACUGGGUAAUUUAAUAAGGAAAGAGGUUUAAUUGACUCACAGUUCCACAGGGCCGGGAAGACCUCGGGAAACUUACAACCAUGUCGGAAGGGGAAGCAAACACGUCCUUCUUCACAUGGUGGCAACAAGGAAAAGUGCAGAGCAAAAGCGGGAAAGCCCCUUAUAAAACCAUCAGCUCUCAGGAGAACUCACUCACUAUCACAAGAACAGCCUGAGGGUAAACACCUCCAUGAUUAAAUUACCUCCUGCUGGAUCCCUCCCAUGACACGAGGGGAUUAUGGGAACUACAAUUGAGGAUGAUAUUUGGGUGGGGACACAGCAAAACCACGUCACAGAUUCUGUGUCACAUAUCAGCUAACUGCAUGAUGCUGGCUGGGCCCCUGGAGCUCCGGGGUCCUUGAGAAGGAACAGGUA
rnacentral:lncRNA from 10 species